GACCGUUCCCAGUACCACUGGGGUGUCCAUUGGAGGUGGGGGUUCAGCACAUCAGGACCCCAAAACUCAAUGAUUCAGUCUGCUUUUCAUUCCUCUGAGAUAAGGGGGUUUUCCCACAUGGUCUGACUGCCUGUCCAGCCAUUUAUAUGUGGGGUGACCUGGGAGUCACCAUUUCUCUAAGUUCCGUCUUCUCUACCCUAAUCCGAGGUCCUUGUGUGCCGUCAUCUAUGAGGAAGUCAAAUGUUCAGGUGUGUGAAGACAGGAAAUGAAGCAUGGCCCAGAGCCAGGAAACAUCUGAUUUUCUGCUAAAAACCAAGAAAUAAAUCCCAUGUACACACUCUGGACAGCGCUUACCCUGGGACAUACAUCCUUUGGGAGGUCCGUCCUGACCGCCUUUGGACUGUCUGAGCACAAUACUUCACUAGGAAGGAAUGCAGAGCCCACCAGCAGGAGCGCACACUGCAGUUCUCCUGAUCCUCCAACUGAGGCCUCCCUUGGCUGCCGGGGAAGGAUGACUGGGCCCUCCCGCCCAUCAUGCCUCUGAAGGAUGUGUGGGUCGCCCCGGGGGGCAUCCAUUGCCCAAGUGAGGGUCCCAGAGAUGCAACCUCAUGCUCUCCCUCCUGAUGACCCAAGGGGCACACAGCCGUGCCCCAUUGUGGAUCUGGCAUCUGUAAUCAGGUCAAACCACCACGCUACCCAUUCAUCAGUGAAAUUUCAGCCCAGACUGGAUGGUGGAGGGUGUCUGUCUCCUCCCUGGGUGAGGCCACAGGCGUUUCUUUGUGACUUGGGCUGAGCUUUGGUGCUCUGGAAAGACGGAGGAGGAGGAGGAGGCACACACAUUUGCCUCAUUGCAACGGUGAAGUUCAAAUAUCGGAAGGAGGAAAAUGAAUUUCAGAUGCUAAAAAUAAUCUGUGGGGGCUCUUCAGAUGAAAAGAAGGGACUCUGCAGGACCUCGGAGGCAGCGUUUCCAUCCCUGAUGCCCUUUGAUGGAGGCAGCCAUUGUGGUAUUGAUAUCCCUAAACGGGCCUGUAAUUUCCGGAGAUCUGCAAACACAGCUGUUUCCUGGUUUGGACAGCACAGCUUUAAAAUAUGAAGCUCAGAG